rnacentral:tRNA from 1 species
GGCUUGUUGGACUAGGGGUAGGAUUCUCGCUUUGAAUGCGAGAGGUCCCAGGUUCAAAUCCUGGAGGAGCCC